AAAAAAAAAAAAGAUAUGUGCAUUAGUGCAGAUGAAGGUGGACAAACAUAUUUUUCCCAUGGAGGAGGUCCAAAAAGUGUACUUCACCAGCAAAUUCAAUGAUGUGGACAAGCUAGGAAAACAAGGGGUGUAAUUCAUUUCACAAUUCUCGCCCCACACACACACACACAAAGACAUAGGGCACAUCCAAGCACCCAAUACUGCCAUAAUUAAAUGCAUAGUGAAUGAUUAUGAAUUAGAUUUUUAAUUAUGUAUGUAUAGAGUUUAUAUAUAGAGAUUUAUACCACAAUACAUUAUUCAGUUAUAUAA